GACGAACCGUGCGAACGUUGUUCGGAUUCACUGGGCUUAAAGGGCGCGUAGGCGGACAAGCAAGUCAAGGGUGAAAUCUUUCAGCUUAACUGGAAACGUGCCUUUGAUACUGCUUGUCUCGAGGGAGGCAGGGGCAUGCGGAACUUCCGGUGGAGCGGUGAAAUGCGCAGAUAUCAGGAGGAACACCGGUGGCGAAGGCGGGUCUCUGGGCCGAUAUUGACGCUGAGGAGCGAAAGCGUGGGGAGCGAACAGG
rnacentral:rRNA from 1 species